GCCAGCGUAGCUCAGUGGUAGAGCAGUAGUUUUGUAAACUAUUGGUCGUGGGUUCGAUUCCCUCCGCUGGCUCCA
rnacentral:tRNA from 1 species